GAUGAGCAUGCGUCCCAUUAGCUAGUUGGUAAGGUAACGGCUUACCAAGGCAACGAUGGGUAGGGGUCCUGAGAGGGAGAUCCCCCACACUGGUACUGAGACACGGACCAGACUCCUACGGGAGGCAGCAGUGAGGAAUAUUGGUCAAUGGGCGCAAGCCUGAACCAGCCAUGCCGCGUGCAGGAUGACGGUCCUAUGGAUUGUAAACUGCUUUUGCACAGGAAGAAACAUCCCGACGUGUCGGGACUUGACGGUACUGUGAGAAUAAGGAUCGGCUAACUCCGUGCCAGCAGCCGCGGUAAUACGGAGGAUCCAAGCGUUAUCCGGAAUCAUUGGGUUUAAAGGGUCCGUAGGCGGUUUAGUAAGUCAGUGGUGAAAGCCCAUCGCUCAACGGUGGAACGGCCAUUGAUACUGCUAGACUUGAAUUAUUAGGAAGUAACUAGAAUAUGUAGUGUAGCGGUGAAAUGCUUAGAGAUUACAUGGAAUACCAAUUGCGAAGGCAGGUUACUACUAAUGGAUUGACGCUGAUGGAC
rnacentral:rRNA from 1 species